rnacentral:rRNA from 1 species
AGUGAACGCUGGCGGUAGGCCUAACACAUGCAAGUCGAACGGCAGCGCAGUAAGAGCUUGCUCUUACGGGUGGCGAGUGGCGGACGGGUGAGGAAUACAUCGGACUCUACUUUUUCGUGGGGGUUAACGUAGGGAAACUUAAGCUAAUACAGCAUACGCCCUACGGGUGAAAGCAGGGGAUCUUCGGACCUUGCGCGAUUGAAUGAGCCGAUGUCGGAUUAGCUAGUUGGCGGGGUAAAGGCCCACCAAGGCGACGAUCCGUAGCUGGACGGAGAGGAUGAUCAGCCACACUGGAACUGAGACACGGUCCAGACUCCUACGGGAGGCAGCAGUGGGGAAUAUUGGGCAGUGGGCGCGAGCCUGAUCCAGCCAUACCGCGUGUGUGAAGAAGGCCUUCGGGUUGUAAAACCCUUUUGUUGGGAAAGAAAAGCAGCAGGUUAAUACCCCGCUGUUCUGACGGUACCCAAAGAAUAAGCACCGGCUAACUUCGUG